ACCUCUGCUAUAAGCUUCGAUUGGUAAGUAGCAGCGCACGAGGGUCCUUAGCAGCCAAGACAGGAGAAACGGGACUCUUUUGACAAUGGUUUGAGUCAUCCACAAGGACCAAGCGUGAGACCCAGUUUUAAAGCACAUCAUUUCAGUUUAUGGGUUCAAUCCAUGCGCUGGUAGAAGUCGUGGGGUUGGUGCCUUGGCCUGUGGGUCAUUUGUUAGGUUUAUAUGGUGCCUCAAGCCAAAGAAAUAUUAUAAUGGCUUAGUGAGCCAAUGCAAGCGGCUGAGCAAACAUGGGCGUGCAAGACCCUUCAGUCCCUUACGGUGUUGGGAGCAUCGCAGGGUGAGGCCAGGAGAACCGCUCCAGGGAAGUGGGGAGCUGGGCUGAGCGUUUCCUUUUGCUCUUUCCUCCCUAAGCUGAAAUGGAAACUCCUGCAGAUGGGAUGGAUCUGCUCGGCGUGGCAGGGCCCCCACGAUGCGCUGGAGUUGCAAUGAAACGCUGCUUUCUCUAGCAGGGGAGUGAUGCCUACCCACAAAAGCCUCUCCGAGGCCCAGGUGUGGAGGUGAUGGGGUCUAAACUGAAAGAUCAGUGCCCUUUCCCCUUCUGGUUCAGAAACCCUGUCCUCUUGCAGCGGGGUUUCACGACCCUGCAGGUGCCAGCAGGGGAAGGAGACCAUUUGUUUGCUCUUCCGUGUCCUUCAGGUGUUUCGAUUUACUCCUACGCACACGUCUUUGCCUGUUGAACCCUGUGUGUGUCAAUCCACAGCCCAUUUUUGAUUUUGUAAAGCCUUCCUCUUUAAUUAAAAAAAUCCCCAAACCCUAAAUGUUGCCAUUCAAACCCAGCCGGUAAAUCCUCCUAAAACGUGACUAGUCAACCACUCCUUUUGAGUGAUGUGACAAGUUAUUUUUAAGCGCCGGUGAGUCAGUCCACAGGGAUGGUGCAGGAGAGGGAUAUUCUGAAAUAAAAGCAUUUGAUAUGCAAACAUAUUUCCAAUAUUUUUUUUAACAGUGACUCAGCCCAUGGGUCAUAUCAUAAAUGCUGGUAUGGGCCCGUUUCUGAUGGCAGCACUCACAUACGUUGGCAAGAAGAAAUCAGAUGCAAUGAAACCUAUUUUUUACCUUGCCCUCCUGAAUAUCACACGUCAGGCUCCCCAGUGCUCUCCCUGGGAGUAGAUCUGAAACAAAUUCCUCCUUGAUCUAGAAAUAUUAUAAGCAUUAUAAUGGGGCUUAUUUAAUCUGGGGAAGAGAAGACGGGAGAUUUAAUUACAGCCUUCAACUCCCUGAAGGGGGGUUCAAAAGAGGAUGGAGCUGGGCUGUCCUCAGUGGUGACAAAGGAGCAAUGGGCUCAGGUUGCCGCAAAGGAAGUUGAAGUUAGAUAUUAGGAAGACCUUUCUCACUAGGAGGGUAGUGAAGGCUACCCAGAGAGGAGGUCCACUCUCCAUCCUUGGAGGUUUUUAAGACCCGGCUAGACCAAACCUUGGCUGGGAUGAUGUAGUUGGGGCUGGUCCUGCUUGGAGCAGGGGGGUGGACUCAGUGUGACCUCCUGAGCUCCCUCCCAACCUGAAUUUUCUAUGAAUCUACAAUUAGAAGGAUUUCCUAUUCCAACAAGCUGCUUUUAGUGCCUUGAACCUUUUGCUGGUGAGUUAGAGCAACAGGUGCGAUCUUUAAAACAAAGGAAGCAAAUAUAACAUGAUUUUCCCCCUUAGAGAUAAAAGGAAUAACGUGAGCGUUGAGUACAGUAGCCUGGAUGAAAGAUGCUGCAAUGACUUUCUGCUGACAUGUACAAAUGCAAUCUUAACCAUUAACUUUAACGACCUGCAAUUAUGCGAGGGGGAAAAAGGGGGAGGGAUCUAAUUUAUUGUAAUUACCUUAAUUGCAAUCUAGCGGUCUCAUUUGAUGCUGCUGGCUUUGCAGUCAGGUGGGGGAAAAAAUAGAAAGAAAAAGAUGAGAAGUGAAACAGUAGCAGAGACUUGACUUCCCCCAAGGCAAUGAUGUAAAAUCAGAUCACCUGGGGAUCCUAUGAAGUGUCUUUGCAGGAAUUGACGGUGAGCAAUAUUCUUCAACAUGGCUUUGAAAUCACUUAUUGCUAGCUAGGGGUCAUGAAGCUUUCAGCCAUAGCAGGAAGAAUUAGUGCAGCUUGGUCCUAAACUGGAUUGUAACCACUGCUGUUGCCGCUACCACAGAUUUCUUUCACCAUUUCUUCAUUGACCACAUGCAGCCGAUGGACCAGAGGUUGCUGCCUCCUGCUAUAGCUGUAUCUUCCUAACCCAAACCAAAAAUAAUGUACCCCCUGCCCCAACUUUUGCUGGAAUAUUCUUUAAAUCUGACACUAGCAAUGUUUGUCGGGAUGAAUGCUUGCUUCACAGCUCUCUUUAACCUUAUCAGCCCCACUUUCCAAGACAUUGAGCACUGAUCCACAUUUGCAGACACAAAAUGGUUUGUUUCACCCAACAUCAUUCCCCUGACCCAAAUGUUUCCUAAUUGUCACUAAUGCUUAUGGUGGAUCAAAUGCAAAACGAACCUUGUUUUUCUGAUUUUUCUUUCACCCGGCUGGAAAGUUUGAAACACAACAAAGUGCUGUGGAUCAAAUUUGACCGGUCCCUUCUCUUCCCCAGGCUCCAUGUUCCCCAUUGGUAUAAGGGGGACGAUAAAUUCAUGCCCUACAGAUGUGCUGUGAGUAUGAACUCCUUGAUGGCUGCAAUGCACUUGAAGCAUUUCAGUUGGGGGCUCAGUUGUAUACCAGCAGACUGCAUUUUUGCUACUAAUCUGCAGAAAACAAGCUGGAGAGGAAGCAGUAUUGAGACUGGAAAUUCAGGCACCUGGCCUAAGCCUUACGGAGGGGGGUAAGUGUAUAUUUUUUAAUAGCUUCAACCAUUGGCAAACACUUUGCUGCAGUGGCUCAGCAAAGUUUAUACUGGCAACAGGCAUAGCCUUUCACACCUGUCUGCUGUACGAAUCAUUGCUGAGUUGAGUUUGGGCUACGCUCCCAAACUACGAGCUAUGUUGAACUCUCGGCAAGCUUUGCUUUUGAUUUCAGGCAACGGUUUCAUUGCUGCUAAUAGAGGGAAGCCUUGUACGGGGGUCGGAGCACAUGGAGGGGUGAUAAUCUCCAACUUUUCACAUGUGCCUUGCGGGGAUGAACGUGCAGGGAAUUGCAAAGUCCGGCAUAUUGUUACAGGCACCUUCCUCCCCCCACAAAAGCAUUUUUGCUUUUGAUGAGACAAGCAUUUAUUUGCUUUUUGCCCUUUUCCUCGAGUUCUGACAAAUGCUGGAGCCGUAACUCAAAGGGCAAACGGGUAAGGGCUUUGCUCCUUCAGGAGCCCUUAGAAACACACCACCUUCUCCAGGACAAGCUGACGGCUUUUGGUGAAUCAGACUAAAAAUCAAAUCCCAAAUGCUAAACAUUGCACAACAGGAGAGACCAGAAAUGACCCAGAGCCCCCGUUGGCAGUGUUCCCAAGACAUAUUUUGCAGUUUUAAGACUGAGAUUCACUUUGGACAAAAACCCAAACCUUGGUGGCUUAACAAAAGCAAACCGAACAGGGCUAGCCACCCUAAUGUUUCUUAUGGGAUUUCCCAGCGAAGGCCAGAGGAUCACCUAUUGGUACAAAUUGGCCUAGAGCAAUUAAUGUCAGUGGAGAUGAUGCUGUCUGGGUUGCCCCAGAUAUUCUGAUUAAACCAGGGAGUUAACAGACAGGUCCGUCUCAACCCACUCACAGGAAGGAUAAAUCCAGAUCUAGAUGCAAUGGCUUGUAUCAGGGAUGGAAGGGACAUCACAAAGGCUCCAGUCCUGCACUCAGGCACGAAUCCAGAUUUUCUCUCCUCCUUUGCUUAGUCUAUGCAGUAAGGGUCCGCUCCCCUUGCUGGUUAGAGCAGCCAUCUUCUGAUGGAAAUGGUUCCCUAUGGUUUGCCCUUGAGGCAUCCAAAACUGAGGUCCCCUAUGUACAAACACAGGACAGCAGAUGAUUUCUGCCUUCAAAAUGUAGCAUUUACAUAAGCAAGAUGGAUGUAAGGUAGGAAAAAAAUUAUAACUCACAACCAGAGCAAACUAUAGGAUGGAAGCAGAAGAAUAGCCGGACCCCGGUGCACUCCAGCCAUAGCCCAGUAUCCCUCUCAGACCACCCGCUACCCCAGGACCUACAACACCGAAGAUACAGGCCUUCUCUAACUGGAAAGUGCAGGUCUUGGGGCCACCAGUGUACUAAUGAGAAGACAGGAGCAUAUGGAUAUCAUUUGAUUAAUAAUUCAAAACUAUUGCCCAUUAAACAAGCGUCUUGGGUUUGCCUUCAGGGAAGUGCAAUGGGCAGUUGCAUUGUUUCUGCAUUAAUAAGAAAAAGGCAGAAUGAAAGCAAACCAUUGUCUGGCAAAAAUACGCAUAAAUCGUGUCAUGGCAAGGGAGCACCGGCAAGGAAGCAGAGCAGCAGAUCAGGCAGGGAGCAAAAAGCAGAGCGGCAGAUCCACAAAGAUGUGGGGAUUGGAGUGGCUCUCGGGGAAGGUGCAGGGGAUCAUUUGACAAGGAGGUGCCCCCCACCGAUGUAAGGGGUUGAAAGGGAAGGAUUGUCUCCACCGUCCUGAGGUCAGGGCAUCCUCCGGGAAACUUUCCAUUAACUAGUCGCUAUUUGUAGCAUCUCGAGGGUGAGAUCGCGACUCUAUUACGCUUGACACUGUAUGCUUGUCUGAGAAGAGGUGCACCCUGCCCUUAAAUGCUGAAUAAAUAAGGCAGACAAAGAGAAGGAAGAAAGGCCUAAUGACUAUGCCUAUUAUACAGAGGGAGAAAUGAGGAACCGGGAGAUUAAGUGACAUGCCUUUACCGCAAGGCAAUUCUCUCUUCAUUCAUUAUUGUUUAUUGUCUCCUCCAUCGUGGUGACCGUGCCUCUGCCCGAAGGCAGCUGGGUGUAGCUCUGCGUGAGCCAACUCCCUUCCACGCACCAGUGAGAGGGACCCACUAGACAUCUGGACACAAAGGACUUCCCUCCAUCAUCAUGGUGCUGUGUAAGUGGUCAGCUAUUACAGAUGUUGGAUGAAAACCGUGCACAGGUAAAAAUAACCCCUUGAAAGGGAAAACCUCGGUGAGAUCAUGUUACAGAAAUACAAGAAAGGUGAACCCCAGUUUUCAAUCAGAUGCUCUGUGCCAACAAGAGGUUUCUGACUCUGCAGCUUCAGGUCACAGCCUGGAACAAGCCACGUGGAGAUGGAUGCCCCUCGACCCCAAUCAGACUGAUAUUGGGAAAAAAUAAAACAACACUGUGAUUUUAACUGCAAGCAAGCACAUCGACUCCACUUCACUCAGGCUAUUUAAUGUCACGAGCUUUUUAUUUUAUUUUUUUUAAAGGGGACAUUUUAAUCAUUCCUGCCUAGGUUUCACCUUUUGCUUGUGAAAGUGAGUUGUGGGUGGCUUGUCUCUAAUAGUUGCCCUGGAUCAGACCUCAUUCCAAAUCUCUCUUGAGGUCUUACAGAUCAAUCUGCACAAGCCAUCGGGAGCCAGGCCCGAGGAGCGAUGGCUAAUAAACCUAAAGUGCUGGUUGUCGUCUGUCGUUGGCUUCAGUCCCAAAUCGCAUGCAUUAGGAAUGCUGAAAAAAAGAAGAAAUAUGUAGGAAGCCAACAUUUCCACAUGCCGAACGAUGAGACUUUCUGCCAGGAAUCCUCUUGCCAGACAACUGUUUGGACAUGGUGCCAUGCUUCAGUAGAGUUAUAUGAUUCAAUCCCCCCAAGGGUGUAUGUUACAACUGUAUCUGGCUCCUUCCAAGAUAAAUAGUCCAUUUUCAAGA